AACAGGUCCCUUCAGUUCUAUUUGCAGGCAAGGUCCAUUUACAUCAGGAUUUCAUCCAGCCAGAAGACGCUGUAUGGAAAGACCAGUUCCUCUUCUCCCACCCUUCUAGCUGUGCGUGGCAGCCCAGUGGAGGUCUGGACGCUUGCCACUGAGUGCCAAGAGCAAAACCCAGGCCAAUCAGCAGGACGGAUCCAAGCCCCUGACUGCAGCAGAGGUGCCUCUCCGCAGCCAGGCUGCAGCCACCCACAGCCUUGGGGCUGCCCUGACCCUGCCUCAGGCAGGAGCCCCGCCUCCUUCUCAAAGGACGUCACAGAGUACCUGCCCUUGGGGUGCCACACAUCUUUCUUUGCUCUCUUUUUUCAGAUUCAAUUUGCCUGAAUAGGAAGAACCUCUCCUUCCUGCCUAAUCUAUUCCCAGAAAUCCCAGCUGCUCUCCCCAACUUUCACAGAGCAAAUCAGUAGGCCCACCACUGUCCAUGUUGGAGAUCACACUGAGCCUCGUCUGGACCCCCCACUGCUUCUGGAGCAUCUCCACAGACGGUCAAAUCUGCAUAUCCAAACCUGAAUCCUUCAUCUUUCUCUCCCACUUGACCCCCAAUUGGCAACAACACCCUGCGCUCCAGGCUGAGGGUCAGGCUUAACUGUCCCCUCUCCUCAUCUCCUACAUCCUCUGCAAGCUUUCUAAAUUUUAUUUCACACACAUUUCUCAAAUCCAGCCCCCAGAAUCUAGAGAUAAGACCACAGCCCUAGUUCAAGCCCAAAUCCAUCCUCCUCACUGCCCUUCUUGCCCCCUCUUCUUUCCAGGGGCCGCCUAACACAGAAUUCUAACUCCAUUGCCCUGUGUCCCUCUGCCCUACCCUCCGAGCCCCCCAAUAACAUCUGAGAACCCAUGUUCCUCUCCACUGUCACCCACUCAAUCCUUGCAGCAGGGACCUGCACUGGUUCCUACCCCGCCACAGGAAGCUUCCUGCUUCCUGUUCAGGCUCCACCCUCUCCAGAGAAAGGCCCCUCCUCCCCUUCACCCAGCUAAUAACUCUGACUUUGUUCACGGACUCCCCACCUCCAGACUGGGCUAAGUGCUUCAUACACAUUUCUGUCAUUGGAUCAAGCUCCUAAAGGGCAGGGACUGGGUAAUAUUUCCCUGUGUAGUCUCAGCACCCAGUUACACACUGUGGGCUCCUGUUACACACAGCAGGUUCUCAGCAAUUGGGAUAUUGCAUUUGUACUUUCAGAUUACUAGCUGAUGCUCUCUAUUACCUACCACAGGGCAAUCAAUACCUAAGUAUGCCUUAGACCCAUUCUGGUGCUACCUAUUUAAAGAAGGCAGACUCCUAGACACCAACGGUUGUGUCUAUGGAACAUAUUUUGUCUAGCAACUUACGCACUUUGGGGUACUUAAUAACUUGAUGGAGUUGAAGAUGAUGACGGUGACAAUGACGUCAACCAGGACAGGAAACUGGAGAUGAUUAGACAUCCUUUAUUCUCCAAGGCUGUGUAGCUGCUUAAAACAGUUCUCGAUGAGUCACAGAAUGACAGCUCAUUUAUCUUGAAACCUUAACUAACCAGAAUACAGCAUGGACCCUCAGUCAGACACACUUCUGAGAAGCUGAAAUACGUAUCCGAAAGUUCACAUGCUUGUCCACACACAAGUUAAAGAGGUAACUUGUGGAAGGGGUCAUCUAGUCUGCAUUCAGGGCCUAUUUAUUCUUGCUUAACAUUCACCUUGAUAAUCUAUGCGAUCUCAUUCCUCAGUCACAGCAAGUUAUUUGAUGUAAAAUAUGAGAAGAGGCGAGGUGGCAAGAGGCUGCUGGGGACUGACACGUGGGAGCAGUGCAGAAGAGAACCCUGACAAACCUUAAAAGAACACAAAGUACAUAGUAGUCUUGGGAUGGCUCAUGUUGAGGGACAAUGAGUUCCACACAUAUUAACAAACCCUAAUGACACCAUCACACAAAGGUACAAUAUUUACCCUCACGAUGAUGAGCAAGAUACCGAGAGAGUUACAUUCUGUGCAAUAUUUUCUACCUGCAGAGAAAAGGAAGUUGAGAGAAUAUUUUAAGAUGAUUUCUAUCAAGGUGAUUUUUUUUAAGGAGUUUUAGCAUUUACUGAAGUAGAUUGCAUUUAUCUGGAAAUUUUGCUGCUGAGAUACCUGACAAAUGAGCCAUUGCUUAACUUCAUCCAGCAUGGAACUAUUAAGUAGCCACGGCACAGGCCUUGCCCACCAAGAGUGCACAGCCUAAAACAGCCCAAUACCCUGGAGAAUACAUUUGUAUAUUUAGUUUUAUUUUAAAACACAGUGAAACAGGAAACACUAUCUGCCAGAAAACUACCAAAUAUAGAAUGUCCCACACCUCCCCAUCCAUGCAAAACACAAACGGACUAAGAUUUCAAUUCAGGGCAAGAGCAUAAGAGAUGAGUCUAUUUCAAGGCAGGUUCCACUUGGGAAAUGAUAAUCUUCUUUUGGUCUUGAUAACCCACUCUCCUCAGUCUCUCUCUCCUUUCCUCUCUCCCUCCACCUUUCACCACCUCAUCUCAGCUCCUUCAGUGUACAGGAGCUGCUUAGAAGGAGAAGACGAAGCCGAGGUUUUGUUCGAGUUGUUACAGUCCCAUGGUCAUUUCCGUAGUGGGUCAGCAAGUACAACCAAAGUAAAUCCAAAGAAGGGAAGGAUGAGAGCUACCUGGUUAUUUUUCAAAAAGAUGGGGCUUUGAAAUGGGAUUUAAAAAAAAGUUGGGAAGUAUUAAAGGGAAAAUCUUCCUGAAACCGGAUACUGAAGAAGGAAUGUACUGAAGGAAGACGGGGUGAAGAGUGGCCAGAAAAAAAAAAAGGUUAAUUUUAUAAAUAAUACCAAAGAGUUAAGUGGACAGAAUGAUGGGAAAGAAGCUAAAGUUUGGCCACUUAUCUGACCAUACCUGCAAAACUGGAAAUUUCACAACCUCAUCUCCAAGCUCACGUUCCUUCGUGGUGACAAGAGGGAAGUGAAGACUUUUAACCAGAUGGGAAAAGUUACCACAAUAUUUCCAAUACUGUGUUUCCACCAAAUAUUUCCAAACUGGCAUAGGAUAGAGGGCAUGAACCAGCUAUCACUGACUGGCUUGGCAUUUUUGUCAACCUGCCUGUAUUAAGAAACCUGUCUUGAAAAGAGCAUUUUUAUUAAAAGCUA
rnacentral:lncRNA from 1 species